rnacentral:rRNA from 1 species
GUGCCAGCAGCCGCGGUAAUACAGAGGGUGCAAGCGUUAUUCGGAAUUAUUGGGCAUAAAGCGCAUGUAGGUGGUUUGAUAAGUCUGAUGUGAAAUCCCCGGACUCAAUUCGGGAAGUGCAUUGGAUACUGUCAGGCUAGAGUAUGGGAGAGGUGAGCGGAAUUCCAGGUGUAGAGGUGAAAUUCGUAGAUAUCUGGAGGAACAACAGAGGCGAAGGCGGCUCACUGGACCAUUACUGACACUGAGAUGCGAAAGCGUGGGGAGCAAACAGGAUUAGAAACCCCCGUAGUCC